UGGGGAAUUUUGGACAAUGGGGGAAACCCUGAUCCAGCCAUCCCGCGUGUGCGAUGAAGGCCUUCGGGUUGUAAAGCACUUUUGGCAGGAAAGAAACGUCAUGGGUUAAUACCCCGUGAAACUGACGGUACCUGCAGAAUAAGCACCGGCUAACUACGUGCCAGCAGCCGCGGUAAUACGUAGGGUGCAAGCGUUAAUCGGAAUUACUGGGCGUAAAGCGUGCGCAGGCGGUUCGGAAAGAAAGAUGUGAAAUCCCAGAGCUCAACUUUGGAACUGCAUUUUUAACUACCGGGCUAGAGUGUGUCAGGGGGAGGUGGAAUUCCGCGUGUGGCAGUGAAAUGCGUAGAUAUGCGGAGGAACACCGAUGGCAAAGGCAGCCUCCUGGGAUAACACUGACGCUCAUGCACGAAAGCGUGGGGAGCAAACGGG
rnacentral:rRNA from 1 species